rnacentral:rRNA from 1 species
UACGUAGGGGGCAAGCGUUGUCCGGAAUCAUUGGGCGUAAAGAGCGUGUAGGCGGCCCGGUAAGUCCGCCGUGAAAGUCCAGGGCUCAACCCUGGAAUGCCGGUGGAAACUGCCGGGCUGGAGUCCGGAAGAGGCGAGUGGAAUUCCUGGUGUAGCGGUGAAAUGCGCAGAUAUCAGGAGGAACACCGAUGGCGAAGGCAGCUCGCUGGGACGGUACUGACGCUGAGGCGCGAAAGCGUGGGGAGCAAACAGG